GGGUCAUCUUUUCGUGCUUUAAAUACAGUUGGGUUGAUUCCAGUUACUUCCCUUGGAUUAUUAUUUUUAAUUGUAUUUUUAACCAAUCAGAUGAUCGCUUUGUAUUUCCCUCCAAAUGUGUUUAGUUUGAUGAUUUUUGCGGGAGUUGAAAAGUAUUUUCAAUAGAGAAUAAUUGGGCUUAUGAUUUGUUUUAUUUGUUUUAAGGAUUUGGAAUAAGUAUUAUGCACCCAGUCACUGUGUGAGUGAAGUGUUUGUUGAUUGGAGUAAAGUUAACUAGAUGGUUUGAUAUUGUUUAGAGCAUACAAUUCCACAAAUUGUGUGCUGGACUUGUUAACUAGGUACUCUAGUUGACUGUGAUAGUGUAAUGUGAAACAGAGUGCAGGAACAGUGAUAUAAUGGUUUGAGACAUUUUAAGAGGAUACAGUGAUUAUUUAUAUUUAUUUGUUUAUCAACAUAAUAACACAGUGAACUAUUAAUAAAUCUAUAUGUGAACCCAAGCCUAUUUGGAUUUGUAAUCUUUUAUUUAGAUACAAAGUAACCAAAGGUAACAUUUGGCGCCCAACGGGGGACCGGGUGCAUAACAAGACUAUGAGGACAUUUAUAGUAAAUAAUCACUUCGAAUUAUGAUCAUUUUUCAUUAAUUUAGUACUGAACAAAAUAGUGAAGAACUAUAUUUACAAUCUGUGUUACAUUAAACUUUUGUACUAUGAAUUAAGUAAACUUUGAUGAAAGAACCUGAAUAUACCUUGAAGGACUGAAGUAAGAUCUUUAAAGUUUCAUUAAAGAUUUAUAAUUAUUGUCAAACUACAUUUAUUGUGAAAUCAAAUACCAAGUUUGACAGUGUCAUCAACAUAUAUGUAUGAGAUAGAUCUACUUUACACCUUGCUGUUUUUAGAAGGAAGUAAUUUCAACUGAACAUCAGAGGAGGAGCAUUUUCACUUGUGUAGACAGUCUACUCAGGAGUCAACAGUGUAUCUGACAGUUAUUGGUGCAUGAAUUAUGUGUGGUUUAUAAAGGUGUGGUCUAGUGGCUUGUAACAACUUGGUUCACCCAGUCACUGUGUGAGUGAAGUGUUUGUUGAUUGGAGUAAAGUUAACUAGAUGGUUUGAUAUUGUUUAGAGCAUACAAUUCCACAAAUUGUGUGCUGGACUUGUUAACUAGGUACUCUAGUUGACUGUGAUACUGUAAUGUGAAACAGAGUGCAGGAACAGUGAUAUAAUGGUUUGAGACAUUUUAAGAGGAUACAG